CCUACGGGAGGCAGCAGUGGGGAAUAUUGCACAAUGGGCGCAAGCCUGAUGCAGCCAUGCCGCGUGUGUGAAGAAGGCCUUCGGGUUGUAAAGCACUUUCAGCGGGGAGGAAGGCGGUGAGGUUAAUAACCUCAUCGAUUGACGUUACCCGCAGAAGAAGCACCGGCUAACUCCGUGCCAGCAGCCGCGGUAAUACGGAGGGUGCAAGCGUUAAUCGGAAUUACUGGGCGUAAAGCGCACGCAGGCGGUCUGUCAAGUCGGAUGUGAAAUCCCCGGGCUCAACCUGGGAACUGCAUUCGAAACUGGCAGGCUAGAGUCUUGUAGAGGGGGGUAGAAUUCCAGGUGUAGGGGUGAAAUGCGUAGAGAUCUGGAGGAAUACCGGUGGCGAAGGCGGCCCCCUGGACAAAGACUGACGCUCAGGUGCGAAAGCGUGGGGAGCAAACAGGAUUAAACCCGAGUAGUC
rnacentral:rRNA from 1 species